rnacentral:rRNA from 1 species
AGUGAACGCUGGCGGUAGGCCUAACACAUGCAAGUCGAACGGCAGCACAGUAAGAGCUUGCUCUUACGGGUGGCGAGUGGCGGACGGGUGAGGAAUACAUCGGAAUCUACUUUUUCGUGGGGGAUAACGUAGGGAAACUUACGCUAAUACCGCAUACGACCUACGGGUGAAAGCAGGGGAUCUUCGGACCUUGCGCGAUUGAAUGAGCCGAUGUCGGAUUAGCUAGUUGGCGGGGUAAAGGCCCACCAAGGCGACGAUCCGUAGCUGGUCUGAGAGGAUGAUCAGCCACACUGGAACUGAGACACGGUCCAGACUCCUACGGGAGGCAGCAGUGGGGAGUAUGGGACAAUGGGCGCAAGCCUGAUCCAGCCAUACCGCGUGGGUGAAGAAGGCCUUCGGGUUGUAAAGCCCUUUUGUUGGGAAAGAAAAGCAGCAGGUUAAUACCCCGCUGUUCUGACGGUACCCAAAGAAUAAGCACCGGCUAACUUCGU